CUGCGGAAGGAUCAUUACCGAGUGUAGGGUUCCUAGCGAGCCCAACCUCCCACCCGUGUUUACUGUACCUUAGUUGCUUCGGCGGGCCCGCCAUUCAUGGCCGCCGGGGGCUCUCAGCCCCGGGCCCGCGCCCGCCGGAGACACCACGAACUCUGUCUGAUCUAGUGAAGUCUGAGUUGAUUGUAUCGCAAUCAGUUAAAACUUUCAACAAUGGAUCUCUUGGUUCCGGCAUCGAUGAAGAACGCAGCGAAAUGCGAUAACUAGUGUGAAUUGCAGAAUUCCGUGAAUCAUCGAGUCUUUGAACGCACAUUGCGCCCCCUGGUAUUCCGGGGGGCAUGCCUGUCCGAGCGUCAUUGCUGCCCAUCAAGCACGGCUUGUGUGUUGGGUCGUCGUCCCCUCUCCGGGGGGGACGGGCCCCAAAGGCAGCGGCGGCACCGCGUCCGAUCCUCGAGCGUAUGGGGCUUUGUCACCCGCUCUGUAGGCCCGGCCGGCGCUUGCCGAACGCAAAUCAAUCUUUUUCCAGGUUGACCUCGGAUCAGGUAGGGAUACCCGCUGAACUUAAGCAUAUCAAUAAGCGGAGGAA
rnacentral:rRNA from 1 species